UUUCGCAAUGCCCGAAAGGGUGACGAAGCGACGCCGCGUGUGGGAAGAAGGCCUUCGGGUUGUAAACCACUGUCGGGAGUUAAGAAAUGCAAGGAUAUGAAUAGUGUCUUUGCUUGACUAAGGCUCCGGAGGAAGCCACGGCUAACUCUGUGCCAGCAGCCGCGGUAAUACAGAGGCGGCAAGCGUUGUUCGGAAUUAUUGGGCGUAAAGAGCACGUAGGCGGCUAUGUAAGUCGGUUGUGAAAGCCUUCCGCUCAACGGGAGAACAGCAUCCGAUACUACAUGGCUUGAGUGCGGGAGGGGAGAGUGGAACUUCUGGUGGAGCGGUGAAAUGCGUAGAUAUCAGAAGGAACGCCGGCGGCGAAAGCGGCUCUCUGGCCCAUAACUGACGCUGAGUGUACGAAAGCUAGGGGAGCAAACGGGAUUAGAUACCCCGGUAGUCCUAGCCGUAAACGAUGGGCACUAAGUAGAGGGGUUUU
rnacentral:rRNA from 1 species